rnacentral:rRNA from 1 species
UGGGGAAUAUUGGACAAUGGGCGCAAGCCUGAUCCAGCCAUACCGCGUGGGUGAAGAAGGCCUUCGGGUUGUAAAGCCCUUUUGUUGGGAAAGAAAAGCAGCCGGUUAAUACCCGGUUGUUCUGACGGUACCCAAAGAAUAAGCACCGGCUAACUUCGUGCCAGCAGCUGCGGUAAUACGAAGGGUGCAAGCGUUACUCGGAAUUACUGGGCGUAAAGCGUGCGUAGGUGGUUGUUUAAGUCUGUUGUGAAAGCCCUGGGCUCAACCUGGGAAUUGUAGUGGAUACUGGGCGACUAGAAUGUGGUAGAGGGUAGUGGAAUUCCUGGUGUAGCAGUGAAAUGCGUAGAUAUCAGGAGGAACAUCCAUGGCGAAGGCAGCUACCUGGACCAACACUGACACUGAGGCACGAAAGCGUGGGGAGCAAACAGG